CAGUGGCAGCUGAGUUAGUAUUUGACAGCAUAAGACCACCACCCGACAAGAACGAAGAGG
rnacentral:sRNA from 1 species